CGCUGGCGGCCCGCGCCCCUCUCCUGCGACCUGGUCGCGGGAAAACAAACUAGCACCGCUCCCCGGGCCGAGGCCAUUCCCCCGCCCCCACCGCCGGAAGAGCUGCCCUUCCCCGAUGGGAGGGGGGCGGGAAACUUUGCGAGACGACUGUUCCGCGCCUUUCUCGCGUGGCGUCGGAGAGGAACUUGGGUGGGUUUCCCGUCCGAGGCCUGACCACACCCUCCCACUUUUCUAGGCCUCGGACCUCAACCUCGUGGACUACGGAGCGGAGGGGGACACUUCGGGCCACUCGGAGGGUGGCACCGAAGUCAGGCGUCCCCAAGGGCUCUGGCGGAUGGCCAAGUUUGUGUUCUUUCCAUCCCACGCCGGAGUAGCGCUCGCUACUUUGGGGAAGCUUCAGACUCCUCAACCCCGGCCACGAGGCCACCCCUGUCUUUAAGACCACAUAAGGAACACCAUGAUCCGUGCAUCUGUGCAGCUUGUUCCAGAGUCCCAGCCCUCACCAGCUGUGAGGUCACAUCUCUUGGAAGGCAGUCAUCUACCUCAACCAACAGCUCCGAGAUGCUGGGCAGCGGGACCAUAUCUGCCAUUUGGAGAGCUGCCGCUGGUGCUCUGGGCUCUCCUGCUCCUUCCGGUAGCCAAAGAGAGGAUGCGAUUUUUAAAAAUUCAUAUAUUCAGAGAAAAUGACUACCAAGAGAAUGACAGAUUAUAUUUUCCAAAAGUGACGACAACAAUAUCUCCCA